rnacentral:rRNA from 1 species
AUGGCUCGAAGAUUGCUCGUCGUUCUUCCAGUGGUGCUGCUUGGUUUGGCCUUCCAGGCCAUUCUCCGGCCACCACCUACAAAACGUUGCGGCUCGGCGGGUGGACCUCCGGUGACAUCUCCCAGGAUCAAGCUCAGGGAUGGGAGGUACCUCGCAUACCGGGAAGACGGUGUGCAGAGAGACAAGGCCAAGUACAAGAUCAUCACAGUGCACGCAUUUGAUAGCACCAAGGACUUCCCCUCACCUGUUUCCAAGGAGCUCGUGGAAGAACUGGAAAUUUACCUCCUUGCAUUUGAUAGAGCAGGGUACGGGGAAAGUGACCCAAACCCCGGUCGGAGUGUCAAAAGUGAAGCCUUGGAUAUAGAGGAGCUCGCCGACCAGCUGGAGCUUGGACAGAAGUUCCAUGUCUUGGGUGUCUCCAUGGGAGGAUACACAGUUUGGGGUUGCCUCCAGUAUAUACCUCACAGGCUCACAGGAGCCGCGCUAGUUGUACCAGUUAUCAAUUACUGGUGGCCUUCUUUCCCGCCAGAGGUGUCCAGGCAGGCUUUCAAGAAGCUCAUUGUACCAGAGCAGAGGACCCUCUGGAUCGCACACAAUGCACCUUACUUUUUAUACUUGUGGAUGACCCAGAAAUGGCUCCCUUCUUCUGCGGCAGCCAUGCAUCAUCCUGAAAUAUUUAGCGACCAUGAUAUGGAGGUGAUUCAGAAAAUGAUGGCAAUGCCAAGAACCAUUGAGAAUAAAUCAAGGCAGCAAGGAAUUUAUGAAUCAAUCCAUCGAGAUUUACUUGUUGCUUUUGGGAAUUGGGAGUUCGAUCUAAUGAAUAUUACAAAUCCAUUUCCUACAAAUGAGGGUUCUGUACACAUCUGGCAAGGAUAUGAAGAUAGGUUGGUGCUGGUUGAGCUGCAGCGGUACCUUUCAAAGAAGCUUCCAUGGAUCCAGUAUCAUGAAGUCCAAGAAGGUGGACAUAUGUUCAUGCUGGUGGACGGAUGGACUGAUAAAAUUAUCAAGGCACUCUUGGUAGGAGAAGAGGCAUCACCUAUGUGA